rnacentral:rRNA from 1 species
UACGGGGGGAGCAAGCGUUGUUCGGAUUUACUGGGCGUAAAGGGCGCGUAGGCGGUCAGCACAAGUCAGUUGUGAAAUCUCCGGGCUUAACUCGGAAAGGUCAACUGAUACUGUGCGACUAGAGUGCGGAAGGGGCAACUGGAAUUCUUGGUGUAGCGGUGAAAUGCGUAGAUAUCAGGAGGAAUACCGAUGGCGAAGGCAGGUCUCUGGGCUGACACUGACGCUCAUGCACGAAAGCGUGGGGAGCAAACAGG